CGGCGGACCCGUCUGCAGGAAUGAAACUUAAACACAGGUAAUACAAAUAAUACGGUACAAUUACAUUAUGGUAAACCUAACGUUAAACUAAGUGCAUGCACUCACUUAAUAAAACGAAAGUAAAUAAAGGAUUGUGAAAAACAGAAACCGUGUGGCGAGUUAUUUUAAAUGAUAUGUAUAAAUGUACUUGGAAAUGUAUGAUAAAUGGGGUGAAUUGGGCUUAGCGCAGCGACCUGUCUGUGUGACUCGCUCUGCAGCCAUCACAGGGUGCGAGCAGCACGGUUAGACAGAACAUACGUGAGUAAGGCAAAUAGCUGUUCAUUUUUAUUCUGAGCUGUUCAAGGCAGAAGGCACAGAUGGGCAUUGUACUGGAGAAUUAUUUCAGCUUCUUCCCUCUUUGGAGCAGCAAGAGCAGACAUCUUUGGACAGUGAUCUGCUAUUUGAGGAAGUGACUGAGGCGGUGCAACAGCUUUCCACCGGUCGCGCACCUGGAAUAGAUGGACUACCUGCAGAGUUCUACAAAGAGUUUUGGGGAGUCAUUGGACAAGAUUUUUUUAACGUUUUAAGAAGCAGUUUUGAAAAAAAGACUCUUCCAAAAAGUUGUCAUCGUGCUGUUGUCCCUACUCCCAAAAAAGGGGGACCUGGGGCUGCUGAAGAACUGGCGGCCUGUUGCUGUCCUUUGUUCAGACUAUAAGAUCUUGUCCAGAUGUCUUGCCAACAAACUGAAAACUGUUUUAGGAAAGCUUAUCCACAAUGACCAAUCAUAUUGUGUACCAGAUAGAUCCAUUUAUCAUCAUCUGUUUUUAAUGUGUGAUUUGUGGGAUUUUGCCCAAGUUUAUGGGACAGAGUUUGGUUUUCUUUCCCUGGACUAAGAAAAGGCAUUUGACAGGGUGGAUCAUCAAUAUUUAAUUAAAGUACUAAAAAUGUUUGGUUUUGGGGAGUUAUACAUGUCUUGGUUAAAGUUAUUAUAUGAAGGUGCCACAUGUAUGGUAAAAACAGGGGGUAGAUUGAGUGUUCCAGUUAAGGUACAGAGGGGGAUUAGACAGGGAUGCCCCCUAUCCGGCCAGUUGUACACCUUGGCAAUAGAACCUCUACUCUGCAUGUUGCGGAGUAAACUAACAUGUUCACGGGAAACCCACUAAGGAGGCAAUUAAGUUGUCAGCCUAUGCAGAUGACAUUGCGGUCAUUAUAAAAAAUCCACAAGAUAUGCAAGCUGUACAACAGGUACUCAGUGUUUAUAAGCAAGCCUCAUCUGCGAGAGUGAACUGGGAGAAGACUGAAGCCUUAUGGUGUGGAACAUUUCAUCAGGGGGACAAUUUUGCUUUGCCACUCCUCCCUGGUAAUAUUCAAUGGGGGAGGUCAGGUUUUAAAUAUUUGGGGGUUCAUUUAGGCACAGAAGAGUACAAAAAGAAAAACUGGGAGGGUAUAGUGGAGACAGUGUGUGCCAAGUUAUCUAAAUCGAAAUGGUUGCUACCCCAGCUAUCAUAUAGGGGAAGAGUCCUGAUCAUUAAUAAUCUGGUUGCUGCCAAUUUAUGGCACAGAUUUACUGUACUGGAACCUCCAGUGGGCCUAGUUGAAGAGACACAGAAGACACUGCUUAAUUUUUUCUGGUCUGGGCACCAUUGGCUAAGGGCAGCAGUUCUCUAUCUGCCAAUCAGUGAAGGAGGCCAAGGACUGAUUGACCUCAAAUGCAGAGUGGCAGCUUUCCGCUUGCAGGCUGUCCAACGCCUGCUGUACCACAAGCACCACUACUGGAUGGAUGUUGCCUGUGCCCUGUUAAACAAGGUGGGUCGGAUGGGCCUGGAUAGGCAUUUGUUUUUAAUGACAUUGAGCAGAAUGGACUUGGCAAAACUCACCCCUUUUUACGGAGCAGUCCUACAGGUGUGGCAGAUUUUUGCUGUUUCAAGGGACGAUACCGCUACCCCUGGUUUUUGGACCCUUGAGGAGCCUGUGUUUUUUAAUCCACUACUACAUAUUGGGACACUUGACUCACCAACAGUGCGAUCUGGCCUGGUGGAGGCCGGCAUUUCCAAGAUCCGUCAUCUGCGGACAGCUGACGGGUGGCUGGCAGCGGAACAGGUGGCAGCCCUGGCGGGUUUCAAGUCUAUCCGUAUCUGUCAGAGGAUGCUGGAAGAACUCUGCACCUCACUUCCCAGACCCAUGCAGGAUUACUUGAGUGACCUAACUGGGAGAAUUUCCGAUGCCAAUGACCUGACGUUCCCCGAAAUAACUGUGGCACCUGGUUUGGGGGAUUGGCAGGAAAAGGAGGGAAUGAUCCUUUCUUUUAAAACACCUGAACUCGGUCAUUUUAGCAGAAUCAACAAAAAGGCAUUGUACAUUAUCUGCAUAAAGGUGCUGUAUCUCCAAAAUUUAUGUGACCUGCAUGAAACAAAAUGGACUGCUUUUCUUGGGUCAGGUUCUUCCCCGAAGGGUAGCUGGCAGUCUCUGUACAAAAGGCCCCUCGAAAGAAGGACAGGAGACCUUCAGUGGCGUAUUGUGCAUGGAGCGAUAGCUACGAACAGAUACAAGGCACACCUGGAUCCGUCUGAGGGGGGCAGGGAUGUCCUUUUUGCAGGGAAUCAGAAACAAUUUUUCAUAUCUUCUUAGGGUGUUCACGGUUGCAAACAAUUAUACAUUCGGUCAAAGGUUUGGUGUCUAGCUUUAGGUUUCCAAUAUUCAAACGCACUUUUUGUUUUUGGGCCAAGGUACACUGUUAAAAAAAGAGAAAAGGUGGUAUUGCUGAACUUUUUAAUAGGAAAAGCAAAAAUGUCAAUAUGGUUGACACGGCGUAACAAGGUUCAAGGCAGUGGGGGACAAGAUCCCGUUCAAAUGGUGAGAGGUCUAGUAAUGGGAAGACUUUUGUUGGAACAUGCAUACAAUGUACUAAUUGGGGAAGCUGGAAAUUUUUUUGCAAUUUGGGGAUAGAUGGGUGUAUUUGUAAACCUGACGAAGGUGAAAGUUUUGAACUAAUGGUUUGAGGUGGAAUGGAACACUGUUUUUGUAAUAUUUUACUGGUAUUUGUUUUCUUAUUUUUAUUUGUAUUUUGUUUUUUGUUUUAUGUGCUUGUUUCUGUCUUUUUAACCAUAAUUUUACCUCUAUCCCUUUCUUUUCUUUUUUGUAAAUAGUGGGGAUUUGAGGGAUUUGUCCUCUUUUUAUUUAUAAUAAAGGGAACUUAAAAGUCAAAGUCAAGUCUCACUCGCUCGCUCGCACGCACGCACGCACGCACGCACGCACA